GCUGGUCACAUUAAAAUGAAAAACAAGCACAUGGCAGGCAAAUACAAAUUAAAAUAAGGAGUCUACAAUAUUUUGCAGUUGUCAAUUUUAAACACUUCGCCAUUAGCUUUUGCGUCACUGUGCACACUUGCAACGCUUGGACAAUGCUGGAAAAUGUUACGUUUUGUGUAUCGGCCCCAUCGCUUAAAUUAUUAAUUUGUUGUUUAGCUGGCAAAUAAGCGAAAUACUAACAAUUGUUUCUGUUUUAUGUGUCUAUUGUUAGGACAGCUCAUUUAGAUCAUAACCAGCUUGAUGGUCUUGGCAACCUCUGGGGCGCGGAAGCAUUUGCAGCUUUUGACAAUUGCAAUGGAAUGGAAAGCGAAGCUAAAGCCGGACCGGAGGGCGGAGAUGGACGUAGGCGCAUUAACAGAGGGCGUUGGCAAUAAUUUUGGCUGCUUGCCCGAAACUGAAGCUGAGAGCACGUGACCACAAUGGGCAAGCACUAGAAACUUUCGGUUUCAAUGGACUUGGCAGCCACCAUCAACUCCAACUCAACUGUUUGCAUCUGUGAAUUGGCAAUCUGGAGGUGUGCGGAAGUUUUCUAGUAUUCAUUUCUACUUGGCUUGUGGCAGCCAUGUGUCUAUGUGUGUGUGUGUGCCACAUAAUAUGCAGCCACUGCCGCAUUUAAAUUGAAAUAAUUAUAGAAAUAGUUUGGCACAAUUUACGUUGUGUUGGCCAUUGCGGCAUGCUGUUUAUGCUAAUUUCGAUUGCUUGCAUAAAAACACAUUUAAAUGUUGUGCCACAACGCGCUGCUUGCAACAGCAAUUGGUUUUGCUGCCACCGAUUUCCAUGUGUGAAAGUAAACACUUCAGCUAAAUCAUCAAAUUGCUGAUUAAAUAAUAAUAAAUGCAAUCCCUUACGCUUAGAUAAAGAGCUAUUGAAUAUUAUAUUAGCUAUUUAAUUUACAGUCUACUUUCUGUGCAGGACCGUCUUUGGCUGUAUUCUGGUCAGUUAAAAAGUUAACUUAAAUAUCAAAAUCCUUACGCCAGCAGCUAGCACCUGUGUGUGUGUAUCUGUAUCCUUUGAGGGACUAAUUGCACCAAUUGAAGCGUAUUCGCAGGUAAAAACAUUCUUGCAGCUUACUUACAGUGUCUAAUAUUUUUUGCUGGCUAAUGAGAAUGUCCUUUGGCAUAAGCUGAUUGAGUGGCAAUUUAUGUAUGCAGAAUAUAGACUGAAUCCUUAUAGUCCUUUGAAGAAUUCGUUUAACAUUGAUGCCGAUUGAUGCUGCUUUUAAAUGACCAAAGGACAUUCGAAACGCUGCUGCAGCUUUUAAGCAAAUCAAGUUUUACAUUAUUUUUAGCGUUUACAAAAUCCUGUUUUUCUCGCAAUUAACACGCACGAUUGAAAAUGUCCUUUAGUAUAUUAAUAAUGUUC